rnacentral:rRNA from 1 species
CCUACGGGCGGCAGCAGUGGGGAAUAUUGCACAAUGGGGGAAACCCUGAUGCAGCGACGCCGCGUGAGUGAAGAAGUAAUUCGUUAUGUAAAGCUCUAUCAGCAGGGAAGAAAAUGACGGUACCUGAGUAAGAAGCCACGGCUAACUACGUGCCAGCAGCCGCGGUAAGACGUAGGGGGCAAGCGAUAUCCGGAUUUACUGGGUGUAAAGGGAGCGUAGACGGAAGUGCAAGUCUGGAGUGAAAGGCGGGGGCUCAACCCCCGGACUGCUCUGGAAACUGUACGGCUGGAGUGCAGGAGAGGUAAGUGGAAUUCCUAGUGUAGCGGUGAAAUGCGUAGAUAUUAGGAGGAACACCAGUGGCGAAGGCGGCUUACUGGACUGUAACUGACGUUGAGGCUCGAAAGCGUGGGGAGCAAACAGGAUUAGAUACCCCUGUAGUC